GACGAACGCUGGCGGCGUGCCUAAUACAUGCAAGUCGAACGCAGUGGGGACGGGUGAGUAACACGUGGGUAACCUCCCAUCAGAGGGGAUAACACUUGGAAACAGGUGCUAAACCGAUACUGUUGGAUGGACCCGGGGUGCAUUAGCUAGUUGGUGAGGUAACGGCUCACCAAGGCCACGAUGCAUAGGCGACCGGGGAGGGCGAUCGGCACCACAGGUGCGAAAAGACGGCGCAGACUCCGACGGGAAGCAGCAGUAGGGAUUCGACGGCAAUGGACGACAGGCUGACCGAACGACGCGUCGUGAGUGAAGGAGGUUUUCGGAUCGUAAAACUCUGGUGGUAGAGAAGCGGUAUCUAACCAGAAAGCCGCGGCCAACGACGUGCCAGCCGCGGUAAUUC
rnacentral:rRNA from 1 species